rnacentral:rRNA from 1 species
UGGGGAAUAUUGGACAAUGGGCGAAAGCCUGAUCCAGCAAUACCACGUGAAUGAUGAAGGCCUUAGGGUUGUAAAGUUCUUUUAGUAGGGAAGAUAAUGACGGUACCUACAGAAAAAGCUCCGGCUAACUCCGUGCCAGCAGCCGCGGUAAGACGGAGGGAGCUAGCGUUGUUCGGAAUUACUGGGCGUAAAGAGCACGUAGGCGGAAUGGUAAGUUAGAAGUGAAAGCCCAGGGCUUAACCCUGGAAUUGCUUUUAAAACUGCCAAUCUAGAGUUUAGUAGGGGGUGAUGGAAUUCCUAGUGUAGAGGUGAAAUUCUUAGAUAUUAGGAGGAACACCGGUGGCGAAGGCGGUCACCUGGGCUAAAACUGACGCUGAGGUGCGAAAGCGUGGGGAGCAAA